rnacentral:rRNA from 1 species
AUUGAACGCUGGCGGCAUGCCUUACACAUGCAAGUCGAACGGCAGCACGGGUGCUUGCACCUGGUGGCGAGUGGCGAACGGGUGAGUAAUACAUCGGAACAUGUCCUGUAGUGGGGGAUAGCCCGGCGAAAGCCGGAUUAAUACCGCAUACGAUCUAUGGAUGAAAGCGGGGGACCUUCGGGCCUCGCGCUAUAGGGUUGGCCGAUGGCUGAUUAGCUAGUUGGUGGGGUAAAGGCCUACCAAGGCGACGAUCAGUAGCUGGUCUGAGAGGACGACCAGCCACACUGGGACUGAGACACGGCCCAGACUCCUACGGGAGGCAGCAGUGGGGAAUUUUGGACAAUGGGCGAAAGCCUGAUCCAGCAAUGCCGCGUGUGUGAAGAAGGCCUUCGGGUUGUAAAGCACUUUUGUCCGGAAAGAAAUCCUUGGCCCUAAUACGGUCGGGGGAUGACGGUACCGGAAGAAUAAGCACCGGCUAACUACGUG